rnacentral:lncRNA from 1 species
CGGGACCGGAGGUGCUUUCGACCUCCGAGGCUGCGACCGCGUGUCCUGUAGCAGCAACCACUGCAGAUGGGGCGUUGCAGCUCUCGAGCUGCUGCGGCUGCAGCUGGACUUGGCAGGGGCUCCCUUAUUUCCUAGCCCUCAAUCCAAUUCCUAGUGAGGUGGCUGUCCUACCGGACUCAAAGAAUGAAACUGCCACCUGGGCUCUGAAGAGAUGCCAGUUCCAGUAGUUCCUCAAGGGUUCAAAGAACUUCAGUGACUGCCACAGGCAAAGUGGAUUCAAAUGCUAAACGGAACCAAGCAGACCGAAGACUGCAGAAAGGAAGAAACGCCUUACUAUGCUCCAGUGCAGCGGCGGACGGCCCGGUGUUAUUUCUGGAAUCCCCAAGGCCAGGCUGCAAGACACACGAGCGUUUAUGUUCCUGUGGGUUGGGGUGGAGCUGGACACACAGAAAUCCCAACGGAUAAAAUGCCUUCUGUAUAAGCAGUGGAUUUCAAGAUUCCCUAAAUUAGAGCAGCAAACCCAGCCCAUAGAGAGGAGACGCCCAUGGAGGUGAUGAGAGAGGAGACAUAUGAAGGGAAAUUGUCAAAAAGGUUGUUUCUGAGUGAGGCCUACCCAAAAGAGGCACGUGCCAAAUAUUUACCACAAACAAGCUCAUAUGAUCAUGUGAAAUCAAAAACUGACACAUUAUGAAAUUGUAAUAUCUGAGGGACUCCAUAGAAUCUGCUUGUGUCUGAAAAAAAAAUUCUUGGUACUUCAAGUCCCAGAACACAGAAAAGCUGAC